rnacentral:tRNA from 2 species
GCUCCUGUAGCCCAAUUGGAAGAGGUAGCAGACUUAAAAUCUGUUUCGUUGUGGGUUCGACUCCCACCAGGAGUA